CCCAAAUCCCGUGUGGCACCUUUAAAAUCGGAGGAUUAGAUGGUGACAGGGGUCUCGGCAGGGUCAGGCAGCCAGGGAAGACCAGUCUGUGACGGAGAGCGAAGUCAGUGACACCAUAGAGAGAAGGAGAUGGAUGCCCGUUGACCAUGGCUUCCCAUCCAGGGGGGAAAUAAAAAUGAAUCCCUGCCCAGAGGCUUCCCACCUCAACCCAGUUCCUGUUUCCUAGUUUUGACCAUUCUCCCUGCCCUGAGCCUGCCAGCCGUUCUGUACCUUGUCACACCACCCUGGACUACUGACCUCUGUCUGCCCUUGACCUGUAGUUUGCCUGCCCCACUGUU